AUGGGUGGAGAAAUGCAAGCACCAGAAUGGCAAACCGAAAGCUCAGUAGUAAGGGCUACAGCGAAACAAGCUGAUGCCAAAGGAAAAGGGAUAGCAGAAGAAAGUUCAGAUCCAUCAAACAGCGAUAGCGAUGAUGAAACGAUGGACCCUAGUGUUCGGCUUGGCAUUAAUUUGAUGAGGGCUGACAGGAGAGGGGGACCCAACCUAGCACAGAACGCGCCCACCGGCAUUACGAUUGGAGAUGAUCUAAGCCGAGCCCGCAUUACAGGACCACGUAGCAUCAACCGACACAGGCAACGCCUACAGCCUAGGAUCAGCAAUGGUGGUGAAACUGUGUCAAACAUGGCCCGAUUCUCUACUCAGACGUCAUGCAGAGCUGCAAUGCUUCGUAGCAGGGGGGACUACCUCAGAGCCGAGCUACAAGAACUCGAGGAUAAAGCUAAAGCAGAACUUGAAUACGGGGCAAUUCAUGGAAUUCUACCAUCUCGUAGAGGAUCAUCGUCUGCCGCAUUUGACAUGAAUGCUGAGGGAGAGUCUGAACGAGAAAGGAGGGAGCGCGUGCGGAGCUUAUCUGCCGCUGCACUAGCUGUGGUAGAACAAGCAAUUGGCAAUCCAGAACUUUUUGAAGGCAUCUUUGAGCAGGCUCGGGUGAUGCUAUCAGACCUAGGAGUGGAAGGGUACAACGAAGAUCAUGGAAUGGGAGUUGACGCAAAUGGGAACAACACGCCACAGAGAGAUGAUGAUGAUCGCAUAAACUGGGAAGAGCUGGAACAUAGCAGCCAGGAACACCGUCAGCAGAUCAGUAGUCAGGGUGUGGGGGCAUUGAUUGUCACUGACAGCAACCUGGGAGCACUUGUGAAAGCAAGUGAGCAGGCAGUGACGAGUCGGAGUCCGUUUUAUGAGAAAUUUAACAACAUAGAUGGAAGGAAUCUACUGCCCUUGUUUGACGAGGAUGAUGUAGACGACGAGUUGUCAUAUGUUCCACCGGGGGUGCCUACUGAAUACAUAAUCGAUGAAGAUGAAUCAACGGACUUGGAUGAAGAGUUCCUUGCCGUGGCGUCACAAGUGCCGAUCGACUACAUGGAAGAAGAUGAGCAAAGGGAGGAUGGAUCAAAUUUGGUGGGGUUAUAUAAUUUAACUGAUUUACUAGCUUCAUUGAACACAUGCAUCCGGUGGAUUGCGUGGAUCGAAGCCGUGUUGGUAGUUGGAAGCGGAAGGGAAGGAGAUGAGUUGGACGAAGACCCACCAUUGAACGGCCUCAUCUUGCUAGGCUGGCAUGGCGUUGAUGACAAUUCAGGUGGUGAACGCGACGGAAAUGAGAACCGUUCCCUUGAGCAACGGAGGGCACGUGCACGUGCCUUUGAUAUUGCUGCAACCUGUCGUCCUGGUCUUUCCUUUCAUCGUGAAAACGGAGAUACGGAUGACGGUGAACCUCGUAGAAGCGGAUUGCGCACUGUGGGUGAUGGUUCGGCAUCCACAUUACAGCAAGCUGCCCUCAUGUACCUUCACAGCUGUAGCGGUGCCAACGAGGGUGGAAGAAGGACUACAGGUGGACAUAGGAGUAAUGCGUGCCAGCUGACCUCCUCGGAUGUAAUUGCAGCGCCUCCUACAACUCCCAGAGACGUUGCCCAUACAGAGCAGCCAGAACCAGAUCGAGCACAUGUGUUGGAUGUCCAAACAAACUGCCAUCCUGGUCCUUCUUUCCGUCGGGAUGAUGGAGAUGGCGGUGACGGCCAGGGGAGAGCAAAAGGUUUCGAAACACGAAGUGAUGUUCGGCUGACGCAGUUCCAACAAGUUGUCCUGGAAUAUCUGCGGAAGUGCGGCAUCAAACACACGGUUAGUAACAGGGGGAAGAUACUGAAUCCAUCACAUAUCGAUGGACACAAAACUGGGCAUAUCACUGACAGGAAGGAUUGGGGUGAUAAAUACCCUCCCUCAAUUGGGUUGAACCACUCAGAGCCCAGCGAUGAAUGCAUUUUCAAAUUCAACUCUAAUUUGCUUGCAUGCGAGGGACCGAUACUGAAUAGGAAAUGGGUUAAGCAUUACGAUCCAAUACUGGCAGUUGCAUCUGGGCAAGAUAUGAAAGAUGAAUUGACGCCAGGUGGUGAGGUAACAAUGAACAUGUGGAGGUGUGUUCAACGCAUGCUACGCGAGAAAGAUAAUGGCAUAUACCGCGGGUGGCUGGAUAGAUUCAGAGGGCUGUUCGACCCCAAAUUUGUUGAUGAGGUCUGCAGGGAUGAUGGAGAAACUGACUGGGAUUACAUCGAGGAUAUGAUGAAUUCAGAAAAGGCUGGGUACAGGAUUGACUGGCUGAAAAAGUUCUGGUUCCCAGUCGAUUUUAUGGACUGCUGGUCAAUGUACCUGCUGGAUAAGGAUGAAAAAACGGUGAUGGUCCUGGACCCAACGGAGACAGAUGAAAUGGAUGAGAUGAAAAUCAAACAUAAGGCCGUGCAAAAAAGUUCCAGCGCAGGUUCUGUUGUCUGUUCAACAAUUUCUUCGGCAACGGCUUGA
rnacentral:rRNA from 1 species